rnacentral:rRNA from 1 species
UACGGAGGGUGCAAGCGUUAUCCGGAUUCACUGGGUUUAAAGGGUGCGUAGGUGGGCAGGUAAGUCAGUGGUGAAAUCUCCGGGCUUAACCCGGAAACUGCCAUUAAUACUAUCUGUCUUGAAUACCGUGGAGGUGAGCGGAAUAUGUCAUGUAGCGGUGAAAUGCUUAGAUAUGACAUAGAACACCAAUUGCGAAGGCAGCUCACUACACGAAUAUUGACACUGAGGCACGAAAGCGUGGGGAUCAAACAGG